AUAUUAUUAUGAGUAGGAAGGACUUUAAAUCAUAUUUAACGAAGUGGAUUGUCGAUUCGAAAGUUUUAUCAUUGAAAAUAACUUAUGAGUAUGAAUGACUAUACUCAUAAGAGUAUAGUAGCAGUGUACAUAUAUAUAUAUAUAUAUAUAUAGAGAGAGAGAGAGAGAGAGAGAGAGAGAGAGAGAGAGAGAGUUCGGCUACUAUGUUAUUAAUAGUACGAGUUCGGCUACUAUGUUAUUAAUAGUACGAAGCAUUUGGUGCUACUAAGUUUUCCGCCGUUAGAUUUAUCAUUUUGAUCAUUUUCCUCCGUUAGAUUAUACUAUUCAACCAACCACCCACUCAACCCUAGGGAGCUCACAUCAUCCUAACCGUACAUCUCUUAAUCCAAUGGUCAAAACUUUAGUAGCACCAAUAAUUUGGUACUAUUAAUAGUAUAUUACUCUCUCUCUCUCUCUCUCUCU
rnacentral:lncRNA from 1 species